rnacentral:rRNA from 1 species
CCUACGGGCGGCAGCAGUGAGGAAUAUUGGUCAAUGGCCGGAAGGCUGAACCAGCCAUGCCGCGUGAAGGUCAGUGCCCUAUGGGCGUUAAACUUCUUUUGUGCGGGAGCAAUAAUGGUCACGUGUGGCCAGACGAGAGUACCGUACGAAUAAGCAUCGGCUAACUCCGUGCCAGCAGCCGCGGUAAUACGGGGGAUGAAAGCGUUAUCCGGAUUUAUUGGGUGUAAAGGGAGCGUAGGCGGUGAUGCAAGUCAGAAGUGAAAGCCCGCAGCUCAACUGCGGGACUGCUUUUGAAACUGUAUGACUAGAUUGCAGGAGAGGUAAGUGGAAUUCCUAGGGUAGCGGUGAAAUGCGUAGAUAGUAGGAGGAACACCAGUGGCGAAGGCGGCUUACUGGACUGUAAAUGACGCUGAGGCUCGAAAGCGUGGGGAGCAAACAGGAUUAGAUACCCGUGUAGUC